GACGAACCGAGCGAACGUUGUUCGGAAUCACUGGGCUUAAAGGGUGCGUAGGCGGGCUGCCAAGUUUGGGGUGAAAUCCUCCGGCUCAACCGGGGAAGUGCCUUGAAUACUGGCGGUCUCGAGGGAGGUAGGGGCGUGCGGAACUAACGGUGGAGCGGUGAAAUGCGUUGAUAUCGUUAGGAACUCCGGUGGCGAAGGCGGCACGCUGGACCUCUUCUGACGCUGAGGCGCGAAAGCUAGGGGAGCAAACGGG
rnacentral:rRNA from 1 species